rnacentral:rRNA from 1 species
GGGUUGUGAGGUUAAGCGACUAAGCGUACACGGUGGAUGCCCUGGCAGUCAGAGGCGAUGAAGGACGUGCUAAUCUGCGAUAAGCGUCGGUAAGGUGAUAUGAACCGUUAUAACCGGCGAUUUCCGAAUGGGGAAACCCAGUGUGAUUCGUCACACUAUCAUUAACUGAAUCCAUAGGUUAAUGAGGCGAACCGGGGGAACUGAAACAUCUAAGUACCCCGAGGAAAAGAAAUCAACCGAGAUUCCCCCAGUAGCGGCGAGCGAACGGGGAGCAGCCCAGAGCCUGAAUCAGUGUGUGUGUUAGUGGAAGCGUCUGGAAAGGCGCGCGAUACAGGGUGACAGCCCCGUACACAAAAAUGCACAUGCUGUGAGCUCGAUGAGUAGGGCGGGACACGUGGUAUCCUGUCUGAAUAUGGGGGGACCAUCCUCCAAGGCUAAAUACUCCUGACUGACCGAUAGUGAACCAGUACCGUGAGGGAAAGGCGAAAAGAACCCCGGCGAGGGGAGUGAAAAAGAACCUGAAACCGUGUACGUACAAGCAGUGGGAGCACAGAGCAAUCUGUGUGACUGCGUACCUUUUGUAUAAUGGGUCAGCGACUUAUAUUCUGUAGCAAGGUUAACCGAAUAGGGGAGCCGAAGGGAAACCGAGUCUUAACUGGGCGUUAAGUUGCAGGGUAUAGACCCGAAACCCGGUGAUCUAGCCAUGGGCAGGUUGAAGGUUGGGUAACACUAACUGGAGGACCGAACCGACUAAUGUUGAAAAAUUAGCGGAUGACUUGUGGCUGGGGGUGAAAGGCCAAUCAAACCGGGAGAUAGCUGGUUCUCCCCGAAAGCUAUUUAGGUAGCGCCUCGUGAAUUCAUCUCCGGGGGUAGAGCACUGUUUCGGCAAGGGGGUCAUCCCGACUUACCAACCCGAUGCAAACUGCGAAUACCGGAGAAUGUUAUCACGGGAGACACACGGCGGGUGCUAACGUCCGUCGUGAAGAGGGAAACAACCCAGACCGCCAGCUAAGGUCCCAAAGUCAUGGUUAAGUGGGAAACGAUGUGGGAAGGCCCAGACAGCCAGGAUGUUGGCUUAGAAGCAGCCAUCAUUUAAAGAAAGCGUAAUAGCUCACUGGUCGAGUCGGCCUGCGCGGAAGAUGUAACGGGGCUAAACCAUGCACCGAAGCUGCGGCAGCGACACUAUGUGUUGUUGGGUAGGGGAGCGUUCUGUAAGCCUGUGAAGGUGUACUGUGAGGUAUGCUGGAGGUAUCAGAAGUGCGAAUGCUGACAUAAGUAACGAUAAAGCGGGUGAAAAGCCCGCUCGCCGGAAGACCAAGGGUUCCUGUCCAACGUUAAUCGGGGCAGGGUGAGUCGACCCCUAAGGCGAGGCCGAAAGGCGUAGUCGAUGGGAAACAGGUUAAUAUUCCUGUACUUGGUGUUACUGCGAAGGGGGGACGGAGAAGGCUAUGUUGGCCGGGCGACGGUUGUCCCGGUUUAAGCGUGUAGGCUGGUUUUCCAGGCAAAUCCGGAAAAUCAAGGCUGAGGCGUGAUGACGAGGCACUACGGUGCUGAAGCAACAAAUGCCCUGCUUCCAGGAAAAGCCUCUAAGCAUCAGGUAACAUCAAAUCGUACCCCAAACCGACACAGGUGGUCAGGUAGAGAAUACCAAGGCGCUUGAGAGAACUCGGGUGAAGGAACUAGGCAAAAUGGUGCCGUAACUUCGGGAGAAGGCACGCUGAUAUGUAGGUGAAGUCCCUCGCGGAUGGAGCUGAAAUCAGUCGAAGAUACCAGCUGGCUGCAACUGUUUAUUAAAAACACAGCACUGUGCAAACACGAAAGUGGACGUAUACGGUGUGACGCCUGCCCGGUGCCGGAAGGUUAAUUGAUGGGGUCAGCGCAAGCGAAGCUCUUGAUCGAAGCCCCGGUAAACGGCGGCCGUAACUAUAACGGUCCUAAGGUAGCGAAAUUCCUUGUCGGGUAAGUUCCGACCUGCACGAAUGGCGUAAUGAUGGCCAGGCUGUCUCCACCCGAGACUCAGUGAAAUUGAACUCGCUGUGAAGAUGCAGUGUACCCGCGGCAAGACGGAAAGACCCCGUGAACCUUUACUAUAGCUUGACACUGAACAUUGAGCCUUGAUGUGUAGGAUAGGUGGGAGGCUUUGAAGUGUGGACGCCAGUCUGCAUGGAGCCGACCUUGAAAUACCACCCUUUAAUGUUUGAUGUUCUAACGUUGACCCGUGAUCCGGGUUGCGGACAGUGUCUGGUGGGUAGUUUGACUGGGGCGGUCUCCUCCUAAAGAGUAACGGAGGAGCACGAAGGUUGGCUAAUCCUGGUCGGACAUCAGGAGGUUAGUGCAAUGGCAUAAGCCAGCUUGACUGCGAGCGUGACGGCGCGAGCAGGUGCGAAAGCAGGUCAUAGUGAUCCGGUGGUUCUGAAUGGAAGGGCCAUCGCUCAACGGAUAAAAGGUACUCCGGGGAUAACAGGCUGAUACCGCCCAAGAGUUCAUAUCGACGGCGGUGUUUGGCACCUCGAUGUCGGCUCAUCACAUCCUGGGGCUGAAGUAGGUCCCAAGGGUAUGGCUGUUCGCCAUUUAAAGUGGUACGCGAGCUGGGUUUAGAACGUCGUGAGACAGUUCGGUCCCUAUCUGCCGUGGGCGCUGGAGAAUUGAGGGGGGCUGCUCCUAGUACGAGAGGACCGGAGUGGACGCAUCACUGGUGUUCGGGUUGUCAUGCCAAUGGCACUGCCCGGUAGCUAAAUGCGGAAGAGAUAAGUGCUGAAAGCAUCUAAGCACGAAACUUGCCCCGAGAUGAGUUCUCCCUGACUCCUUGAGAGUCCUGAAGGAACGUUGAAGACGACGACGUUGAUAGGCCGGGUGUGUAAGCGCAGCGAUGCGUUGAGCUAACCGGUACUAAUGAACCGUGAGGCUUAACCUUACAACGCCGAAGGUGUUU